rnacentral:rRNA from 1 species
UCGAGCGCAUCCUUCGGGAUGAGCGGCGGACGGGUGAGUAACGCGUGGGAAUGUGCCCUUCUCUACGGAAUAGCCACUGGAAACGGUGAGUAAUACCGUAUACGCCCUUAGGGGGAAAGAUUUAUCGGAGAAGGAUCAGCCCGCGUUAGAUUAGGUAGUUGGUGGGGUAACGGCCUACCAAGCCUACGAUCUAUAGCUGGUUUUAGAGGAUGAUCAGCCACACUGGGACUGAGACACGGCCCAGACUCCUACGGGAGGCAGCAGUAGGGAAUCUUGGACAAUGGGGGAAACCCUGAUCCAGCCAUGCCGCGUGAGUGAAGAAGGCCUUAGGGUCGUAAAGCUCUUUCGCCUGUGAUGAUAAUGACAGUAGCAGGUAAAGAAACCCCGGCUAACUCCGUGCCAGCAGCCGCGGUAAUACGGAGGGGGUUAGCGUUGUUCGGAAUUACUGGGCGUAAAGCGCGCGUAGGCGGAUUGGAAAGUUGGGGGUGAAAUCCCGGGGCUCAACCCCGGAACUGCCUCCAAAACUGCCAGUCUAGAGUUCGAGAGAGGUGAGUGGAACUCCAAGUGUAGAGGUGAAAUUCGUAGAUAUUUGGAAGAACACCAGUGGCGAAGGCGGCUCACUGGCUCGAUACUGACGCUGAGGUGCGAAAGUGUGGGGAGCAAACAGGAUUAGAU